ACACAUGCAGUCGAACGGANCNNCUUCGGGGUUAGUGGCGGACGGGUGAGUAACACGUGGGAACGUGCCUUUAGGUUCGGAAUAGCUCCUGGAAACGGGUGGUAAUGCCGAAUGUGCCCUUCGGGGGAAAGAUUUAUCGCCUUUAGAGCGGCCCGCGUCUGAUUAGCUAGUUGGUGAGGUAAUGGCUCACCAAGGCGACGAUCAGUAGCUGGUCUGAGAGGAUGACCAGCCACAUUGGGACUGAGACACGGCCCAAACUCCUACGGGAGGCAGCAGUGGGGAAUCUUGCGCAAUGGGCGAAAGCCUGACGCAGCCAUGCCGCGUGAAUGAUGAAGGUCUUAGGAUUGUAAAAUUCUUUCACCGGGGACGAUAAUGACGGUACCCGGAGAAGAAGCCCCGGCUAACUUCGUGCCAGCAGCCGCGGUAAUACGAAGGGGGCUAGCGUUGCUCGGAAUUACUGGGCGUAAAGGGCGCGUAGGCGGACAUUUAAGUCAGGGGUGAAAUCCCAGAGCUCAACUCUGGAACUGCCUUUGAUACUGGGUGUCUUGAGUGUGAGAGAGGUAUGUGGAACUCCGAGUGUAGAGGUGAAAUUCGUAGAUAUUCGGAAGAACACCAGUGGCGAAGGCGACAUACUGGCUCAUUACUGACGCUGAGGCGCGAAAGCGUGGGGAGCAAACAGGAUUAGAUACCCUGGUAGUCCACGCCGU
rnacentral:rRNA from 1 species